GGCUCCUAAAUCUGAAAGACAGAAAUGCAAAACGCAAUAUAGAGCACUGGAUUGAAAAUCCAGGUGUCGGCGGUUCAAGCCCGCCCCCGACCA
rnacentral:tRNA from 1 species